UACGAGGGGGGCAAGCGUUGUUCGGAAUUACUGGGCGUAAAGCGCACGUAGGCGGCUUUGUAAGUUAGAGGUGAAAGCCCAGGGCUUAACCCUGGAAUUGCCUUUAAGACUGCAUCGCUAGAAUCGUGGAGAGGUAAGUGGAAUUCCGAGUGUAGAGGUGAAAUUCGUAGAUAUUCGGAAGAACACCAGUGGCGAAGGCGACUUACUGGACACGUAUUGACGCUGAGGUGCGAAAGCGUGGGGAGCAAACAGG
rnacentral:rRNA from 1 species